rnacentral:rRNA from 1 species
UGGGGAAUAUUGCACAAUGGGCGAAAGCCUGAUGCAGCAACGCCGCGUGAGUGAUGAAGGUCUUCGGAUUGUAAAGCUCUGUCUUUUGGGACGAUAAUGACGGUACCAAAGGAGGAAGCCACGGCUAACUACGUGCCAGCAGCCGCGGUAAUACGUAGGUGGCGAGCGUUGUCCGGAUUUACUGGGCGUAAAGGGUGCGUAGGCGGAUGUUUAAGUGAGAUGUGAAAUACCCGGGCUUAACUUGGGUGCUGCAUUUCAAACUGGAUAUCUAGAGUGCAGGAGAGGAGAAUGGAAUUCCUAGUGUAGCGGUGAAAUGCGUAGAGAUUAGGAAGAACACCAGUGGCGAAGGCGAUUCUCUGGACUGUAACUGACGCUGAGGCACGAAAGCGUGGGUAGCAAACAGGAUUAGAUACCCUGGUAGUCCACGCCGUAAAACGAUGAGUACUAGGUGUAGGAGGUAUCGACCCCUUCUGUGCCGCAGUAAACACAUUAAAGUACUCCGCCUGGGGAGUACGA